CAGUUAUAAGUAGAAAUUUACUCAACAGUGCCACGGAUCCUUUCAAUCGGCAGCCGCUUAGCGAAGAUAUGCUCGUGCCAAUGCCCGAUUUGAAAGAAAGAAUAUCAAUAUGGAAACAACAAAAGAAACAGUGCUAAGGUGACAAGAAUUAUGCACAUAAAAAUAAAAAUAUAG